GGGGUUUGGCAGGGCGGCGAUGGUAGCCCGGGCGACAGCGUUGGCACCUGCGGCCCUCGGUGUUGUGGCGGCAGUUGUCACAGAUCCCCCCGCUGGACCCACCUGAGGACCGCCACGCUCGCCGGGAGAAGCGACAGGGCAAGGCUCCGGAGUAGCGGGAGGUGCAGGGCGCACCUGGCUGGCUCACGUCGUCAGGGAGACCGAAGGUCUGGCUGCAGUUGCUGGCAAAGAGCUUGAGAGGCCCCCAGCUUUGGGCAAAGUCGCGGGAUCGCUCCAGUACCAUCGCCGCAGGACGGGGUGAGCGGAACAGCAUGAUGAGGUGGGUCAGGCAGAACUGGGCCUCCAGGUCCAGACGGAUCUCCUCCUCUCCCACGCCAGCCUCAGACGCCCACCAGGUGCCAGGGUGCAAGAAGGGGUCAUCCGCCAUGUGGCUAGGUGGGUGGGACACUGAGCAUGGGUAGCUGGGAGCAGAGCGGAGAGAGGAGGGUCCACCAUAACAACUGGUCAGGGUCUGGAGCCUUCUGCCAGUCGCCAGGUUUCCCAUUGGGGGGCUGCAGGCAUGAUCUUUGCACUGCAGGGCUAAGAGAAGACCCACAAUGGAGACUCGGUUAAAAGGGGUUGGUGGUGGGGAGGUAACAGCUGCCUGUGAACAGUCUGUGCCUUUUUCUGCACAUUGCAUUUUUCCUCUUUUUUGAGUCUUUUCAGUGACAUACAUGUCUUCAAGUGAAAUAUGUGUCUAAAUGUUUAUGCAGCUAUGAUGAAAGUUAUUAGUUAAAUAAAUAUAAUUCAAAGUGU